rnacentral:rRNA from 1 species
UACGUAGGGGGCAAGCGUUGUCCGGAUUUAUUGGGCGUAAAGAGCGUGUAGGCGGUCUGGUAGGUCCGUUGUGAAAACUCGAGGCUCAACCUCGAGACGCCGAUGGAAACCCUCAGACUAGAGUCCGGAAGAGGAGAGUGGAAUUCCUGGUGUAGCGGUGAAAUGCGCAGAUAUCAGGAAGAACACCAAUGGCGAAGGCAGCUCUCUGGGACGGUACUGACGCUGAGACGCGAAAGCGUGGGGAGCGAACAGG